rnacentral:rRNA from 1 species
UACGGGGGGGGGCAAGCGUUGUUCGGAAUUACUGGGCGUAAAGGGCUCGUAGGCGGCCAACUAAGUCAGACGUGAAAUCCCUCGGCUUAACCGGGGAACUGCGUCUGAUACUGGAUGGCUUGAGGUUGGGAGAGGGAUGCGGAAUUCCAGGUGUAGCGGUGAAAUGCGUAGAUAUCUGGAGGAACACCGGUGGCGAAGGCGGCCUGCUGGGCAGUGGCUGACGCUGAGGCGCGACAGCGUGGGGAGCAAACAGG